rnacentral:rRNA from 1 species
UACGAAGGGGGCUAGCGUUGUUCGGAUUUACUGGGCGUAAAGCGCACGUAGGCGGAUCGUUAAGUCGGGGGUGAAAUCCUGGAGCUCAACUCCAGAACUGCCUUCGAUACUGGAAAGCUCGAGUCCGGGAGAGGUGAGUGGAACUGGCGAGUGUAGAGGUGAAAUUCGUAGAUAUUCGCAAGAACACCAGUGGCGAAGGCGGCUCACUGGCCCGGUACUGACGCUGAGGUGCGAAAGCGUGGGGAGCAAACAGG